UACGGAGGGGACUAGCGUUGUUCGGAAUUACUGGGCGUAAAGCGCACGUAGGCGGAUUUGUAAGUCGGGUGUGAAAGCCCCGGGCUCAACCUGGGAAUUGCAUUCGAGACUGCAUUGCUGGAGUACGGAAGAGGAGGGCGGAAUUCCCGGUGUAGCGGUGAAAUGCGUAGAUAUCGGGAGGAACAUCAGUGGCGAAGGCGGCCCUCUGGUCCAGUACUGACACUCAAGUGCGAAAGCGUGGGGAGCAAACAGG
rnacentral:rRNA from 1 species